rnacentral:rRNA from 1 species
AUUGAACGCUGGCGGCAGGCCUAACACAUGCAAGUCGAACGAGUGGCGGACGGGUGAGUAAUGUCUGGGAACCUGCCUGAUGGAGGGGGAUAACUACUGGAAACGGUAGCUAAUACCGCAUACCAUCAGAUGUGCCCAUGUGGGAUUAGCUGGUUGGUGGGGUAAAGGCUCACCAAGGCGACGAUCCCGAGCUGGUCUGAGAGGAUGACCCGCCACACUGGAACUGAGACACGGUCCAGACUCCUACGGGAGGCAGCAGUGGGGAAUUUUGGACAAUGGGCGCAAGCCUGAUGCAGCCAUGCCGCGUGUAUGAAGAAGGCCUUCGGGUUGUAAAGUACUUUCAUCGGGGAGGCGGUACCUGCAGAAUAAGCACCGGCUAACUCCGUGCCAGCAGCCGCGGUAAUAC